AGAGUUUGAUCCUGGCUCAGGAUGAACGCUGGCGGCGUGCCUAACACAUGCAAGUCGAACGGGCUUAACAUGAAACCUAGUGAUUGUUAAGUUAGUGGCGGACGGGUGAGUAACGCGUGGAUAACCUGCCGUAUGCAGGGGGAUAACAGUUGGAAACAGCUGCUAAUACCGCAUAAGCGCACAGUACCGCAUGGUACGGUGUGAAAAGAUUUAUCGGCAUACGAUGGAUCCGCGUCCGAUUAGCCAGUUGGCGGGGUAACGGCCCACCAAAGCGACGAUCGGUAGCCGGCCUGAGAGGGCGGACGGCCACAUUGGGACUGAGACACGGCCCAAACUCCUACGGGAGGCAGCAGUGGGGAAUAUUGCACAAUGGGGGAAACCCUGAUGCAGCGACGCCGCGUGAGUGAAGAAGUAUCUCGGUAUGUAAAGCUCUAUCAGCAGGGAAGAAAAUGACGGUACCUGACUAAGAAGCCCCGGCUAACUACGUG
rnacentral:rRNA from 1 species